CUUAGUGGCGGACGGGUGAGUAACGACGUAGAGCAACCUGGCCUUGGCAGAGAGGGGAUAAACGAUUGGAAACGAUCGCUAAUACCACAUAACAUACAGAUAUCGCAUGAUGACUGUAUCAAAAGAUUUAUCGCUGCAAGAUGGGCUCGCGUCUGAUUAGAUAGUUGGUGAGGUAACGGCUCACCAAGUCGACGAUCAGUAGCCGGACUGAGAGGUUGAACGGCCACAGUUGGACUGAGACACCGGCCCAGACUCCUACGGGAGGCAGCAGUAGGGGAUAUUGCACAAUGGGGGGAAAAAACCCCCUGAUGCAGCGACGCCGCGUGAGGGAAGAAGGUUUUCGGAUUGUAAACCUCUGUCUUUGGGGACGAUAAUGACGGUACCCAAGGAGGAAGCUCCGGCUAACUACGUGCCAGCCGCCGC
rnacentral:rRNA from 1 species